rnacentral:rRNA from 1 species
UUGAACGCUGGCGGUAUGCUUUACACAUGCAAGUCGAACGGCAGCACGGGGCAACCUGGUGGCGAGUGGCGAACGGGUGAGUAAUAUAUCGGAACAUGUCCGGAAGUGGGGGAUAACGUAGCGAAAGUUACGCUAAUACCGCAUAUGCCCUGAGGGGGAAAGGGGGGGAUCGCAAGACCUCUCGCUUUCGGAGUGGCCGAUAUCGGAUUAGCUAGAUGGUGAGGUAAAGGCUCACCAUGGCGACGAUCCGUAGCUGGUCUGAGAGGACGACCAGCCACACUGGAACUGAGACACGGUCCAGACUCCUACGGGAGGCAGCAGUGGGGAAUUUUGGACAAUGGGGGCAACCCUGAUCCAGCCAUGCCGCGUGAGUGAAGAAGGCCUUCGGGUUGUAAAGCUCUUUCAGACGGAAAGAAAACGCAUCGGUGAAUACCCGGUGUGGAUGACGGUACCGUAAGAAGAAGCACCGGCUAACUACGU